AUAACAUUCGGACCGUUGGUCUACCGAGCAAUAUCACCCGCUCGGUGGAAGAUCUUCCUUUCGUCGU
rnacentral:pre_miRNA from 1 species